GACCCAGUAGCUCAGUUGGCAGAGCACUUGACUUUUAAUCAAGGUGUCCGGAGUUCGAAUCUCCGCUGGGUCA
rnacentral:tRNA from 1 species